rnacentral:misc_RNA from 1 species
GGAGUAGAUCACUGUGGUUGUGAAAUGUGAGUCGGUAGAGAGCAAAAUCAAUUGAUUUCUGCUUAGUUCAUCUUUUAAAGUGGAACCUAAAAUUUGCCAUUGCAUACCAUGUGAAUGGGUCCUAUGCCAUGGAUUCUACAAAUUUUCAUUGUGUGGAAUAAAGCACAUUUAAUGGGCCGAAACACGUGCAUGUCAGACACAAACACACAUGUAUUGGAAUAAUUGCCAGUUACACACUGAUUGAAUGGAGUUGUUUUGUUUUUACUUUACUCUCUUGCAUUACUUGCUUUGACCAAG